CAACCCUCGAGCCCCUGUGGCCCGGCGUUGGGGAUCUGCCACGGCAGGCCCCUAAAACCAGUGGCGGACCCGAAGGCCCUCUCCUUUGCGCAGUAGCAUCAGCCUCGCAUUGGGAUCCCUCGGCGUCCUGCCUCUAAACCCCCCACAAGUCCGCUCCGGCGGCACCAA
rnacentral:misc_RNA from 1 species